UGGGGAAUAUUGCACAAUGGGCGCAAGCCUGAUGCAGCCAUGCCGCGUGUGUGAAGAAGGCCUUCGGGUUGUAAAGCACUUUCAGCGAGGAGGAAGGGUAGUGUGUUAAUAGCACAUUGCAUUGACGUUACUCGCAGAAGAAGCACCGGCUAACUCCGUGCCAGCAGCCGCGGUAAUACGGAGGGUGCAAGCGUUAAUCGGGAUUACUGGGCGUAAAGCGCACGCAGGCGGUUUGUUAAGUCAGAUGUGAAAGCCCCGCGCUUAACGUGGGAACUGCAUUUGAAACUGGCAAGCUAGAGUCUUGUAGAGGGGGGUAGAAUUCCAGGUGUAGCGGUGAAAUGCGUAGAGAUCUGGAGGAAUACCGGUGGCGAAGGCGGCCCCCUGGACAAAGACUGACGCUCAGGUGCGAAAGCGUGGGGAGCAAACA
rnacentral:rRNA from 1 species